UGUUGGUGGGGUAAUGGCCUACCAAGACUGUGAUCAAUAGCUGAUUUGAGAGGAUGAUCAGCCACAUUGGGACUGAGACACGGCCCAAACUCCUACGGGAGGCAGCAGUGGGGAAUCUUGCACAAUGGAGGAAACUCUGAUGCAGCGAUGCCGCGUGAGUGAAGAAGGCCUUUGGGUUGUAAAGCUCUUUCGUCGGGGAAGAAAAUGACUGUACCCGAAUAAGAAGGUCCGGCUAACUUCGUGCCAGCAGCCGCGGUAAUACGAAGGGACCUAGCGUAGUUCGGAAUUACUGGGCUUAAAGAGUUCGUAGGUGGUUGAAAAAGUUGGUGGUGAAAUCCCAGAGCUUAACUCUGGAACUGCCAUCAAAACUUUUCAGCUAGAGUAUGAUAGAGGAAAGCAGAAUUUCUAGUGUAGAGGUGAGAUUCGUAGAUAUUAGAAAGAAUACCAAUUGCGAAGGCAGCUUUCUGGAUCACUACUGACACUGAGGAACGAAAGCAUGGGUAGCGAAGAGGAUUAGAUACCCUCGUAGUCCAUGCCGUAAACGAUGUGUGUUAGACGUUGGAAAUUUAUUUUCAGUGUCGCAGCGAAAGCGAUAAACACACCGCCUGGGGAGUACGACCGCAAGGUUAAAACUCAAAUGAAUUGACGGGGACCCGCACAAGUAGUGGAGCAUGUGGUUUAAUUCGAAGAUACGCGCAGAACCUUACCAACACUUGACAUGUUCGUCGCGACUUUAAGAGAUUAAAGUUUUCGGUUCGGCCGGACGAAACACAGGUGCUGCAUGGCUGUCGUCAGCUCGUGUCGUGAGAUGUUGGGUUAAGUCCCGCAACGAGCGCAACCCUCACUUUUAGUUGCCAUCAUUUAGUUGGGCACUCUGAAAGAACUGCCAGUGAUAAGCUGGAGGAAGGUGGGGAUGACGUCAA
rnacentral:rRNA from 1 species